UUUUGCCGCUUUUGACAAAACCAUAGCCAUCUUAUUCUUUGACAUUAUACUAUAAAUUAUUAUUUGUUCUUACGUCAAUACUCAAAUAAUCGUUCCAAAAUAUUGGUCUUCAUUAUACUUCAAAAUAUACAUAAGCUGACCAGAACUACGUUUACUUCAACCAAAUUGUGUUUUAACUACGAAUUUUUUUCAUGGCUCCACGAUAAAAAAAAAAAAAAAAAACAAUCGUAUUUGUUGGUAUACUAUAUAUAAUUUGGAACGUACAAGUACUUGAUCGAAGAUGAUAAGAUGAAAUCUGAAACGAUAGAUAGAGCUCACCGGCAAGCAAAACAUGGCACGUGAGAAGAACCUAAACUUGUUAUCAAAGUUAUUCCUCAACUCUACAUUUUUGCACUGAACAAUUUUGUUUUGUCAGUCCUGACUAGUCAGUCUAACAAAAGGCUACAGGGUACGUAUAUUCUUUAUCUAAUAAUUCC
rnacentral:lncRNA from 1 species